UACGAAGGGGGCUAGCGUUGUUCGGAAUUACUGGGCGUAAAGCGCGCGCAGGCGGUCUUCCAAGUCAGUGGUGAAAGCCCGGAGCUCAACUCCGGAACUGCCAUUGAAACUGUGAGACUUGAGGAUGAGAGAGGUGAGUGGAAUUCCCAGUGUAGAGGUGAAAUUCGUAGAUAUUGGGAAGAACACCGGUGGCGAAGGCGGCGACCUGGUCCUUUACUGACGCUGAGGCGCGAAAGCGUGGGGAGCAAACAGG
rnacentral:rRNA from 1 species